rnacentral:rRNA from 1 species
GACGAACGCUGGCGGCGUGCCUAAUACAUGCAAGUAGAACGCAGUUGCGAACGGGUGAGUCACGCGUAGGUAACUGCCUCCUAGCGGGGGAUAACUAUUGGAAACGAUAGCUCAUACCGCAUCCUGUGCGAUGGACCUGCGUUGUAUUAGCUAGUUGGUGAGGUAAAGGCUAACCAAGGCGACGAUACAGAGCCGACCUACCAGGGGGAUCGGCAACACUGGGAUUAAUACACGUCCCCGACGCCGACGACAGCCAGCGGAAGGGACUCGGCGGCAAUGGACGGAAGUCGGACAGAGCAACGCCGGGGGAGUGAAGAGGGUUUUCGGAGCGUAAAGCUCGGAUGUUAGAGAAGCGGUAACUAACCAGAAAGGGACGGCUAACUACGUGCCAGCAGCCGCGGUAAUAC